rnacentral:lncRNA from 1 species
UUUUACUAUUGUGCUCAAUUAGGCUACUUGUGUUAUGCUAAAGAGGUCUAUAAAAUCCAUGCGCUUCACGCGCCGCCCUCUCCCCGGCAAGCUCGGAAACGGCGAUGCCGCCCCCAUGAAUCUGCUUAUCGCGCGUCCCUCCCCUUGCACCCUCGUCAAACUGUAAAACAGUAUGUCCGAUCAGGCCAAUAUCUGUCUGUCUGUCUCUAAACAUUAUGAACACUUUUGUUCUUAUCUGAAGUGUUACAUAACUCCAUUUUUUCCAUGUUGUUUUCAGAUGCGCACCCUAGCAGGCAACUGCGACUGAUGCGCAUUGCUGAGCACCGAGGUGGCCAUUGUGGACUUCAACCCGUGGUGGUUUGAGGCCCGCUGCGUUCACGCCGCUGGGAACAUUUACUGGAGUUCUGCAUCCUCAGCGGGACGCAAAUAACCCAGCUGG